rnacentral:lncRNA from 1 species
AGGCAUGAACCACUGCGUCCAGCCCAGUAAUUUCUGUAAUAAUAGUAUUAUUGAGCUUACGCUUUUCAUAAUAUAGUGAUGAUACAUGAAGCACAUUCUAAUUGGAAUAACCUGUAUCCUACCUUUUGAUAAUUGAGAUGUCAGAUUGGUGAGAGAUUAGGUAAUGUGUUUUAUAAGUAGAAUAUUAUAGGUUAACAGUCUAAUUUUUGUUUUUUUUAAUUGUGUUCAUCAUUAACAUAGGUUUUUGAUUUUGUUGUUACUUUUUUAAUGAUUCUAGGGCUGUGCUUCCUGGAAGUGGUAUUAUCCAUUUCAUUAUGCACCAUUUGCUUCAGACUUUGAAGGCAUUGCAGACAUGCCAUCUGAUUUUGAGAAGGGUACGAAACCGGUAAGCUUAAUUACUUAAAGUCAUAAAGUUUAUAGAAUUCUGGAUUAGAUAAUAAUCUUGGGUCUUUAAUGUUUUUUCUUUUUUCAGUUUAAACCACUAGAACAACUUAUGGGGGUAUUUCCAG